rnacentral:rRNA from 1 species
AUGAACGCUAGCUACAGGCUUAACACAUGCAAGUCGAGGGGCAUCAGGAAGAAAGCUUGCUUUCUUUGCUGGCGACCGGCGCACGGGUGAGUAACACGUAUCCAACCUGCCCUUUACUCGGGGAUAGCCUUUCGAAAGAAAGAUUAAUACCCGAUAGCAUAAUGAUUCCGCAUGGUUUCAUUAUUAAAGGAUUCCGGUAAAGGAUGGGGAUGCGUUCCAUUAGGUUGUUGGUGGGGUAACGGCCCACCAAGCCUUCGAUGGAUAGGGGUUCUGAGAGGAAGGUCCCCCACAUUGGAACUGAGACACGGUCCAAACUCCUACGGGAGGCAGCAGUGAGGAAUAUUGGUCAAUGGGCGCUAGCCUGAACCAGCCAAGUAGCGUGAAGGAUGAAGGCUCUAUGGGUCGUAAACUUCUUUUAUAUAAGAAUAAAGUGCAGUAUGUAUACUGUUUUGUAUGUAUUAUAUGAAUAAGGAUCGGCUAACUCCGUGCCAGCAGCCGCGGUAAUACGGAGGAUCCGAGCGUUAUCCGGAUUUAUUGGGUUUAAAGGGAGCGUAGGUGGACUGGUAAGUCAGUUGUGAAAGUUUGCGGCUCAACCGUAAAAUUGCAGUUGAUACUGUCAGUCUUGAGUACAGUAGAGGUGGGCGGAAUUCGUGGUGUAGCGGUGAAAUGCUUAGAUAUCACGAAGAACUCCGAUUGCGAAGGCAGCUCACUGGACUGCAACUGACACUGAUGCUCGAAAGUGUGGGUAUCAAACAGGAUUAGAUACCCUGGUAGUGCACACAGUAAACGAUGAAUACUCGCUGUUUGCGAUAUACAGUAAGCGGCCAAGCGAAAGCAUUAAGUAUUCCACCUGGGGAGUACGCCGGCAACGGUGAAACUCAAAGGAAUUGACGGGGGCCCGCACAAGCGGAGGAACAUGUGGUUUAAUUCGAUGAUACGCGAGGAACCUUACCCGGGCUUAAAUUGCAGUGGAAUGAUGUGGAAACAUGUCAGUGAGCAAUCACCGCUGUGAAGGUGCUGCAUGGUUGUCGUCAGCUCGUGCCGUGAGGUGUCGGCUUAAGUGCCAUAACGAGCGCAACCCUUAUCUUCAGUUACUAACAGGUCAUGCUGAGGACUCUGGAGAGACUGCCGUCGUAAGAUGUGAGGAAGGUGGGGAUGACGUCAAAUCAGCACGGCCCUUACGUCCGGGGCUACACACGUGUUACAAUGGGGGGUACAGAAGGCAGCUAGCGGGUGACCGUAUGCUAAUCCCAAAAGCCUCUCUCAGUUCGGAUCGAAGUCUGCAACCCGACUUCGUGAAGCUGGAUUCGCUAGUAAUCGCGCAUCAGCCACGGCGCGGUGAAUACGUUCCCGGGCCUUGUACACACCGCCCGUCAAGCCAUGGGAGCCGGGGGUACCUGAAGUACGUAACCGCAAGGAUCGUCCUAGGGUAAAACUGGUGACUGGGGCU